UACGGAGGGUGCAAACGUUGCUCGGAAUCAUUGGGCGUAAAGCGCACGUGGAGCGGACUGUUAAGUCGGACGUGAAAUCCCUCAGCUUAACUGAGGAAGUGCAUUCGAAACUGGCAGUCUUGAGUACGGGAGAGGGUCGCGGAAUUCUCGGUGUAGAGGUGAAAUUCGUAGAUAUCGGAAGGAACAUCAGUGGCGAAGGCGGUGCUCUGGGCCAGUACUGACGCUGAGGAGCGAAAGCGUGGGGAGCGAACAGG
rnacentral:rRNA from 1 species